GCCAAAAAGUUCAUUCGGAUUUUCCUGUAAGAUAUGGAAAAACCUGAACAAGCUUUUUGGC
ensembl:miRNA bta-mir-2285g-1 bta-mir-2285g-1